CCUACGGGUGGCAGCAGUGAGGAAUAUUGGUCAAUGGCCGUAAGUCUGAACCAGCCAAGCCGCGUGAAGGAAGACUGCCCUAUGAGUUGUAAACCUCUUUUAUGCGGAGGUAAAGGUGUCCACGUGUGUAUGUUUGCAGGUACCGCAUGAAUAAGGACCGGCUAAUUCCGUGCCAGCAGCCGCGGUAAUACGGAGGGUCCGAGCGUUAUCCGGAUUUAUUGGGUUUAAAGGGUGCGUAGGCCGGUCUUUAAGCGUGCCGUGAAAUUUUGUGGCUCAACCAUGAGAGUGCGGCGCGAACUGGAGACCUUGAGUGCGCGGACGGCAGGCGGAAUUCGUGGUGUAGCGGUGAAAUGCUUAGAUAUCACGAAGAACCCCGAUUGCGAAGGCAGCCUGCCGCAGCGUUACUGACGCUGAAGCUCGAAAGCGCGGGGAUCGAACAGGAUUAGAUACCCCGGUAGUC
rnacentral:rRNA from 1 species